rnacentral:tRNA from 1 species
GUGGGUAUAACUCAGUGGUAGGGCUCAUGCUCAGCAUGCACGAAGUCCUGGGUUCAAUCCCCAGUACCUCCA